rnacentral:rRNA from 1 species
UUGACGGGGACCCGCACAAGCGGUGGAUGAUGUGGUAUUAAUUCGAUGCAACGCGAAGAACCUUACCUACCCUUGGCAUGUCCGGAACUUGCCAGAGAUGGCUUGGUGCCGAAAGGGAAUCGGAACACAGGUGCUGCAUGGCUGUCGUCAGCUCGUGUCGUGAGAUGUUGGGUUAAGUCCCGCAACGAGCGCAACCCUUAUCAUUAGUUGCUACGCAAGGGCACUCUAAUGAGACUGCCGGUGACAAACCGGAGGAAGGUGGGGAUGACGUCAAGUCCUCAUGGCCCUUAUGGGUAGGGCUUCACACGUCAUACAAUGGUCGGUACAGAGGGUUGCCAAGCCGCGAGGCGGAGCCAAUCCCACAAAGCCGAUCGUAGUCCGGAUUGUAGUCUGCAACUCGACUGCGUGAAGUCGGAAUCGCUAGUAAUCGUGGAUCAGCAUGUCACGGUGAAUACGUUCCCGGGUCUU